GUGGGGAAUAUUGGACAAUGGGCGAAAGCCUGAUCCAGCCAUGCCGCGUGUGUGAAGAAGGUCUUCGGAUUGUAAAGCACUUUAAGUUGGGAGGAAGGGUAGUAACCUAAUACGUUGCUACUUUGACGUUACCGACAGAAUAAGCACCGGCUAACUUCGUGCCAGCAGCCGCGGUAAUACGAAGGGUGCAAGCGUUAAUCGGAAUUACUGGGCGUAAAGCGCGCGUAGGUGGUUCAGUAAGUUGGAAGUGAAAUCCCCGGGCUCAACCUGGGAACUUCUUUCAAAACUGCUGAGCUAGAGUACGGUAGAGGGUGGUGGAAUUUCCUGUGUAGCGGUGAAAUGCGUAGAUAUAGGAAGGAACACCAGUGGCGAAGGCGACCACCUGGACUGAUACUGACACUGAGGUGCGAAAGCGUGGGGAGCAAACAGGAUUAGAUACCCCAGUAGUCC
rnacentral:rRNA from 1 species